UACGUAGGUGGCAAGCGUUGUUCGGAAUUAUUGGGCGUAAAGAGCUUGUAGGCGGUUUGUCGCGUCUGCUGUGAAAUUUCGGGGCUCAACCCCCGAACUUGCAGUUGAUACGGGCAGGCUAGAGUUCGGUAGGGGAGACUGGAAUUCCUGGUGUAGCGGUGAAAUGCGCAGAUAUCAGGAGGAACACCGGUGGCGAAGGCGGGUCUCUGGGCCGAUACUGACGCUGAGGAGCGAAAGCGUGGGGAGCGAACAGG
rnacentral:rRNA from 1 species